CGUCGAUUGAACGCUGGCGGCAGGCCUAACACAUGCAAGUCGAGCGGCAGCGGGAAGUAGCUUGCUACUUUGCCGGCGAGCGGCGGACGGGUGAGUAAUGUCUGGGGAUCUGCCCGAUGGAGGGGGAUAACUACUGGAAACGGUAGCUAAUACCGCAUAACGUCGCAAGACCAAAGUGGGGGACCUUAGGGCCUCACACCAUCGGAUGAACCCAGAUGGGAUUAGCUAGUAGGUGGGGUAACGGCUCACCUAGGCGACGAUCCCUAGCUGGUCUGAGAGGAUGACCAGCCACACUGGAACUGAGACACGGUCCAGACUCCUACGGGAGGCAGCAGUGGGGAAUAUUGCACAAUGGGCGCAAGCCUGAUGCAGCCAUGCCGCGUGUGUGAAGAAGGCCUUCGGGUUGUAAAGCACUUUCAGCGGGGAGGAAGGGGUUGAGGUUAAUAACCUUAAUCAUUGACGUUACCCGCAGAAGAAGCACCGGCUAACUCCGUGCCAGCAGCCGCGGUAAUACGGAGGGUGCGAGCGUUAAUCGGAAUUACUGGGCGUAAAGCGUACGCAGGCGGUUUGUUAAGUCAGAUGUGAAAUCCCCGAGCUUAACUCGGGAACUGCAUUUGAAACUGGCAGGCUAGAGUCUCGUAGAGGGGGGUAGAAUUCCAGGUGUAGCGGUGAAAUGCGUAGAGAUCUGGAGGAAUACCGGUGGCGAAGGCGGCCCCCUGGACGAAGACUGACGCUCAGGUACGAAAGCGUGGGGAGCAAACAGGAUUAGAUACCCUGGUAGUCCACGCUGUAAACGAUGUCGAUUUGAAGGUUGUGGCCUUGAGCCGUGGCUUUCGGAGCUAACGCGUAAAUCGACCGCCG
rnacentral:rRNA from 1 species